rnacentral:rRNA from 1 species
UGGGGAAUCUUCCGCAAUGGGCGAAAGCCUGACGGAGCAACGCCGCGUGAGUUAAGACGGCCUUCGGGUUGUAAAACUCUGUGAUUCGGGACGAAAGAUAAGCAGACGAAUAAUCUGCAUAAGUGACGGUACCGAAAAAGCAAGCCACGGCUAACUACGUGCCAGCAGCCGCGGUAAUACGUAGGUGGCAAGCGUUGUUCGGAUUUACUGGACGUAAAGGGCGUGUAGGCGGCUAGAUAAGUGUGAUGUUUAAAUCCAAGGCUUAACCUUGGGGUUCCUUACAAACUGUUUAGCUUGCGUGCUGGAGAAGAUAGUGGAAUUCCUAGUGUAGCGGUAAAAUGCGUAUAUAUUAGGAGGAACACCGGUGGCGAAGGCGGAUAUCUGGACAGUAACUGACGCUGAGGCGCGAAAGCGUGGGGAGCAAACAGG